GUGAAGAACAGUGUUUCUCUCCUACAGAGGAUGCAGUGUCCAGGGCAUCAUCUAUGAAUGGAGACAACCUUUACCGGACACCAAACCUACCAGCACCAUGACCUUGAACUUUCCAGCCUUCUGAACUGAUGGCGUACUGCUCUGUUGCCCAGGUUAGAGUGCAGUGGCUUGAUCAUAGCUCACUGCAGCCUUGAGCUCCUAGGCUCAAGCAGUCCUCUUGCCUCAGCCUCCUGAAUAGCUGGGACUACAGGGUUCUAUUCUGAGGUACUAAGGUUAAGACCUCAACAUAUGAAUUCUGGAGGACAAAAUUCAACCCAGAAGUCUACCUUGUAUUGGGUCCUCACGGCAAGGCUGCAAAACCCGGGGGGUUGGUGGCCCAGUCCCACCUCCCAUGAGCUAAUGAAUGUGGGGGCUCAGGGAGGACUGACAGGACUAGAGUUGACAACCAUUCAUCCAACAAACAUUUACUGCACGAGGAAGAGAGGUGAUCAAGGCACUGCCCUUGUCCCCAGGAAGCUCGCCAGUGCAUGGGACUGUGCAGGUGUCUUCACCUCUGCAUUAGGCAUUCGAUGUCAGGCCAUGGCUGAGCAUCCAUCCUCUCUAUGCUAAUUUUUUCCAAAAGUCAAGAGUUUGGAAGAACACUAAUGUGUUUUUCUUCCAGCCUUUCCUAUACAAAUGACAACAUCAUUACCCUCAGCUUUUAAAGUGCAAGUCUGUACAGAGAUCCCAGAGUCAAGGAGGGCGCCUGAGUCAUUUGAAAUAAUUACCUUUUUUUUUUCCUGCCUGAGUCUUGCAUAUCUGUGAAUCAGCAAUGUGGAAACUGGGCUUCAAAAAAAUUAAGGGAGGCUUAAAGUGAGCAAAGCAGAGAAGAGCAUUGGCAAGAGCUGAGCGCUGCCACAGCAGGAACAUCAUGCCGAUCGUCAUCUAAGGGAGCUCAUGGUGCUGUCUGCCUCCUCUUAGCAACAUCCACACAGGCUGGUACAGUCAGAUCAUUGUGACUUGGACAGGGAUGAAAAUACUCAGCUGACACCAAUAGCUCCCAGCACAGCCAGGGUAUUCUAGAGGUGUGUGGUGUCAGGACAGCCUGUGCGGCCUCAUUUAUUUACCUGAGUCAUCUGAACAAAGCGGUGACUGGCUUUGCCUGGCUCUGGCAAGGACUCGCAACAAAGCCAAAGCCUCUUCCUCCACGGCCUUUGCUCCUGCAGCACAGCACUGGCAUCUUUUUAGCAUCAUAGACACUGUCACGUGGCAAUCAAUGACAGAUGAACUGUCCCUUCCCUGGGCCACAAGCUCUUCAAGGCGGGAGCCUCAGCCCAGUUUCUUCCAUGUCUCCAGCGCCCAGCACAGGGCCUGGCUUCUAGCUGGUUUCUGAUGAAUAAACGAAUGGCUAUAGAGAUGUACUCUUCAAAACACAAGGGGCUUCUAUAGUGGCAACAUGUUCAGUAGCACAGUGCUGUAUUGGUUCUUUACAGCUUGCAGGACCCAAAGAAGGAAUGAUUUUUGUUUCCCGGGAAAGGUGUACCUCGUGGGGGCACUGCUCAAGGGAAGGUGCCCACAAGUUGGGGAUCAAGGGAGGCACAGGUUGAUCAAAGCCCCUGGAAUUGAAAUGGAGGUGUUCAUCCUGCGGAGGCUCCGAACAUCUGAGGCAGAGCCUCGAUUCUCCAGGAAAUUGACUUUGCCGGAGAACAAGGCUGGGGAAGGCAGGCUGUCCUAGGGGAGGAGUCGUAUUUCAGCCCCACUGAGACCCCAAAGGCGCACUCCCAUGCUUUACCCCAGCUGUCCACCAGGGGGCAGGCAGAGGCAAGAGAAGAGGAAAGCGGGCGGCUGGUCAGGCCCAGCACAUCCAGCCUGGCAUCCCACACGCUGGGCUGCCUGACUCAGACAAAGCCAGGCCGCUCCUCCUGCCUGUUGUGGCCUCUGUGAUUUUAUAUGGUUUGGCCUGUGACAUCAGACACCACGCGACCAUGGUAACCAAAGUAUACAGCCUGGAGUGAAUGUUAAUAAACAGGAAAGAAAUGAU
rnacentral:lncRNA from 1 species